AACGAACGCUGGCGGCAUGCCUAACACAUGCAAGUCGAACGAGACCUUCGGGUCUAGUGGCGCACGGGUGCGUAUCGCGUGGGAACCUGCCCUUAGGUUCGGAAUAACUCCCCGAAAGGGGUGCUAAUACCGGAUAAUGUCUUCGGCCCAAAGAUUUAUCGCCUUUGGAUGGGCCCGCGUUGGAUUAGCUAGUUGGUAGGGUAAAAGCCUACCAAGGCGACGAUCCAUAGCUGGUCUGAGAGGAUGAUCCGCCACACUGGGACUGAGACACGGCCCAGACUCCUACGGGAGGCAGCAGGGGGGAAUAUUGGACGAUGGGCGAGAGACUGAGCCAGCAAUGCCGCGUGAGUGAUGAAGGCCUUAGGGUUGUAAAGCUCUUUUAACCGGGAUGAUAAUGACAGUACCGGGAGAAUAAGCUCCGGCUAACUACGUG
rnacentral:rRNA from 1 species